GCUGUGAAUUCCUCUGCGCACAGCUGUGCCCACAGCAAGGCUAGAGCACCCAGUCCGUGGGUGAACACAAAUAUGUUUGCUGACUGGACAAAUGAGCAGAGAAAUAACACAGUUCACUUCAAGAGACCUCUGAUAGAGCAGAGAGUCUGUAGCCGACUCAGUAGAACAAAGUCAGCAAAGGUGGACUGGGCGCCUGUACUCCAGGCAGUGGGGACCCAGAAACAAUGAGAAACAGGCCUUGGCUUCAACGCACUUACAAAGCUAAGGAGCAGGAGGGGCUUACCAGCGGGGCGGCUUCUCGGCGUAGAGCACGGAUGCAGGGUGGAUGUGCAAUUCAUGAUCAUCACGGAUAGUCCUUGGGAAGCAGAAUAAUUAUCUCAGAUUCUCUUUCAAGAAUUCCCUUGGAGACAGAUAUAUGCAGUUACUUCUAUAAACCUUCCUAUUAAGCAAAGUUAAGUAGUAAAGAUGAAAACUAUGGGAGAGAUAAUAAUAGAGGAAAAAAGAAAGCUCAAUAUGGAACUAGCUGAUUCUCUGAGAUAAUAUUUCAAAUGCCAAGUCGGAUUUGAUUCAAUUUAAAAAAUAUUGACUAAGCACACAAGUACUGGUAAGAUGAGCUCACAAGAGAACCUUAAGAAGUUAGGAUGCUGCUGCCCAUAAUUACAGAGUCCUUUGAGGGGCCAGGGCUGUGCGUGUCAAAUGCCAUGAUCCAGCUCAUCUCCAGCACUGGAAUAAAGCCUGUACCCAGGGUCCUGGCUGUCAGAUCAGGGGACUGACACUGAACUUUGUCUCAAGGGAACCGACCACCGUGAAACCUGUUUUUUUUAUUGUUGUUGUUGAGGACACUGG